rnacentral:rRNA from 1 species
AUGAUGUCAUCGAAGAGUUCAAAGGUCUCAGGGGCUGGCUGGAGGAGGGACAUGAGGAUGGUGGCCUCGCCCAAGUGCACAAUCUGCUGCAGACAUUUGACAAUCUGGAAAGUGGUGGAGCUGUCCAGCCCAGUCGAUAUCUCAUCCAUGAAUAGCACCUUUGUCGGACCGACAAUCAUCUCUCCUGCAAUCCAAAUGAACCAAAUCAUUUCAAAGACAUGCAUCCUGAAAUCAAUACAGUUUGGUAACAAGCAAUAUCAUGCUGACACCAAACCAUUGACCCCUCAGCACAAAAUCCGCAUGAAAUGGUUUGAACUUGUUGCUUUAGCAUUGGUACACAUUUCUAAGCUAAAGAACCAACUGCUUUCCGGAUUGCACUUUCGGCUCGGCUUCAAUUAUAUGGAAUGUACUUUAUUUUCUCAAAAAAUCUUUCAUGAAGAAGAAAUGCAACAUGCAAUGUGGAAACGAUAUGUAAUGGAUUGGUCUUGCUUUUAG